GUGCUGCUUUGGCAGCACAUAUACUAAAAUUGGAACAAUACAGAGAAAAUUAGCAUAGUCCCUGCGCAACAAUGACAUGAAAAUUUGUGGUGAUCCAUAUUUUU